rfam:Trichuris suis scaffold139.7, whole genome shotgun sequence.
ACCCCUGUAGCGCAGAGGAUAGCGCGUUGGGCUUCUAACUCAAAGGUCGUGGGUUCAAUCCCCACCAGGGGUG